CGGGGUGGAGUAACGCGUGGAUAACCUGCCUCACACUGGGGGAUAACAGUUAGAAAUGACUGCUAAUACCGCAUAAGCGCACAGUACCGGCAUGGUACAGUGUGAAAAACUCCGGUGGUGUGAGAUGGAUCCGCGUCUGAGUUAGCCAGUUGGCGGGGUAACGGCCCACCAAAGCGACGAUCAGUAGCCGACCUGAGAGGGUGACCGGCCACAUUGGGACUGAGACACGGCCCAA
rnacentral:rRNA from 1 species